rnacentral:piRNA from 1 species
UGCCUGCUUUUUGGCCAGCUCCAU